rnacentral:tRNA from 1 species
GCGGCUGUAGCUCAGCUGGAUAGAGUACCUGGCUACGAACCAGGNNACGAACCAGGCGGUCGGAGGUUCGAAUCCUCCCAGCCGCGCCA